GACGAACGCUGGCGGCGUGCCUAAUACAUGCAAGUAGAACGCUGAAGGAGGAGCUUGCUUCUCUGGAUGAGUUGCGAACGGGUGAGUAACGCGUAGGUAACCUGCCUGGUAGCGGGGGAUAACUAUUGGAAACGAUAGCUAAUACCGCAUAAGAGUAGAUGUUGCAUGACAUUUGCUUAAAAGGUGCAAUUGCAUCACUACCAGAUGGACCUGCGUUGUAUUAGCUAGUUGGUGAGGUAACGGCUCACCAAGGCAACGAUACAUAGCCGGCCUGAGAGGGGGAUCGGCCACACUGGGACUGAGACACGGCCCAGACUCCUACGGGAGGCAGCAGUAGGGAAUCUUCGGCAAUGGGCGGAAGUCUGACCGAGCAACGCCGCGUGAGUGAAGAAGGUUUUCGGAUCGGAAAGCUCUGUUGUAAGAGAAGAACGAGUGUGAGAGUGGAAAGUUCACACUGUGACGGUAUCUUACCAGAAAGGGACGGCUAACUACGUG
rnacentral:rRNA from 1 species